AGCAGCCGCGGUAAUUCCAGCUCCAAUAGCGUAUAUUAAAGUUGUUGCAGUUAAAAGCUCGUAGUUGAAUUUCGGGGUCAGUAGAUUGGUCAUGCCAUUGGUAUGUACUGGUCUUACUGGCUCCUCUUCCUGAUGAACCGUAAUGCCAUUAAUUUGGUGUUGCGGGGAGACUGGACUGUUACUUUGAAAAAUUAGAGUGUUUAAAGCAAGCUAACGCUUGAAUACAUUAGCAUGGAAUAAUGAAAUAGGACGUUCGAUCUUAUUUGUGGUUUCUAAGAUUGACGUAAUGAUUAAUAGGGAUAGUUGGGCAUUAGUAUUCAAUUGUCAGAGGUGAAAUUCUUGGAUUUAUUGAAGACUAACUACUGCGAAAGCAUUUGCCAAGGAUGUUUCAUUAAUCAAGAACGAAAGUUAGGGAUCGAAGACGAU
rnacentral:rRNA from 1 species